GGAGGGGUGGCCGAGUCUGGCUUAAGGCGGCGGUCUUGAAAACCGUUGAACGGAAGUUCCGUGGGUUCAAAUCCUACUCCCUCCGCCA
rnacentral:tRNA from 1 species